GUCUCCCACAGCCACAGCCAGGGAGCAGAAACGUUAUUCCUCAGGUCUGACAGUUCUAUGUUUCCAAGACCUUCCUUUACAUCUCACUGACUUCCUUUCAGACUGAAUCUUGUCUGCUCUGGGGAGGCACGGAGGAGCCUGUGACUUGUGAGUUCCAGUAAUCAUUGUACAUCUCUGCUUCUGCCUUUGCCAAUGAGCCUGAUUUUAGGCAGAGAAAGAAGAUUCUGCCUAACAAAGUAGAGACAGGUAUCCUGGAGUUCAUGAAAGACGUGUAGCUGAUUCAGCCAUGUGAAGAAGGACAUGCUUGCUUCUUCUUCCACCAUCAUUGCAAGUUUCCUGAGGCCUCCCCAGCCCUGCAGAACCAUGAGUAAAUUAAACUUCUUUCCUUUAUAAAUUACCCAGUCUCGAGUAUGUCUUUGUCAGCAGCUGAAAAUGGACUAAUACACCUAGUCCAUGAGGAAUCAAUGCUUGCUGAUGAUGGGAGAGUCUUCCCAUUACGCCUGAAGCCAGCCUUGAUGACAGUUUAAUACAGU
rnacentral:lncRNA from 10 species